rnacentral:lncRNA from 1 species
UAAAGAUCAGUAAAAAUCGAUCUUAUGACUUCUAAAAAUUUAUAAGAAAAUUUCAACAAAUACGAAAUAAGUUAUCAUUGGAUACCUUCGUUCCGCCACCGAAACACGGCACAUUUUAUUUACAAGAAUAUGUAGAGGAGUUGUACUUGUCAAUUUAACACCUCGUUUGUGUUGGAUGCCACUCCAUCCCCAACCAGAUUUUUUUUUGUACUAUUGGACUGAUACAACAAGAGACAACUCAUUCCUUAUGGAUAAGUUUUGUGGUUAGGGCUUUUAUUCGCGCAUUAGGUUUAAUAAUAGGAUAUAAAAAUACAAAUAAAAAGACUUUGAUUUAUAGAUGUACUAGUGAAUUACCCGCGCGAUGCUGCG